rnacentral:rRNA from 1 species
UACGUAGGGCGCAAGGCGUUGUCCGGAAUUAUUGGGCGUAAAGGAGCUCGUAGGCGGUUUGUCGCGUCUGCUGUGAAAACCUAAGGCUCAACCUUGGGCUUGCAGUGGGUACGGGCAGACUAGAGUGCGGUAGGGGUGACUGGAAUUCCUGGUGUAGCGGUGGAAUGCGCAGAUAUCAGGAGGAACACCGAUGGCGAAGGCAGGUCACUGGGC